AGGAAAUAAAUUCAAUAAUAAGUUACAAUUAAAAAACACAAAAACUUCCGCCUACCUUCCAAAUCAAGACUAACGCGAAUUUAUUACAGGACAGGUGCGCUACAUAAACGCGGUUUAGGGAUUUAUUUGUGUUUGGAAAUGAGGGUUUUAAUAAUGAUUCUGAUCCUUAUGGAUUUUGUCAAGAAAGACACUACACUUGCAUUUCCAUGCUGGUCAAUUUCACAUUGCAACGCUACACUCGCAGUUUCAUGCCGGACAUUUCCACAU